ensembl:lncRNA novel transcript, antisense to C7orf33 and CNTNAP2
CAUCCUUCUAUCUUUACACCCCAUGAUUUACCCCUUGCAGUGUACUUAUUACACUGUAUUGGAAUCGCUUCUUUUCUCUUUCUCUGUGAAUUUCUUGAGAGCACAGACUACAUUCUGCUUAACUUUUUAUCCCCAGCUUUCAGCACAGUGCCUGGCUGCUUUGGCGUCUCCAAGUACCUGACCUCAGCUCAACCUGUCUUGGGUUUUCUUCUCCUCCCUGACAUUGACAACCCAGCCCUCCUAGGCACAGAGAGAUGGAGCUGAGUGUGGUUUUCCUGAAAUAAAGCUUGCAUUAUGAGAGGGAAUAAACAGAAGAAAAAAAUAAGACUCACUUUGUCACCCAGGCUGGAGUGCAGUGGUGCCAUCUCGGCUCACUGCAACCUCCACCUCCCAGGUUCAAGUGAUUCUCCUGCCUCAGCCUCCUGAGUAGCUGGGAUUACAGGCUGCGCACCACCAAGCCUGGCUAAUUUUUGUAUUUUUUUGGUAGAGACAGGGUUUCACUGUGUUGGCCAGGCUGGGGGGUGACCAGCUUUUACAAACAGCCUGUAAAAUGUUUUUCAUUGUAGCCACAGCCAGUUCUGAUAUUGUCCUGAAACCGCUCAAUAUGUAGCACACCUGCCAUAAAUUUUUUUAACUUGAUUUUUAUUAGAAAAUCCUGAUUCACAUUCACUAGAAUAAAAAAGAAUCUGGAGA